CAUUUACACCUCAUUCACAAGGUGUGCUUGAUAAUGUUUGUUUGCUUAGAUUAGUUUAUAAUAGUUAUUUGUUUGAUUAAGUUAAUUGAUUUUGGAUUGAUGUUGCUUUGUUUAAAUAAAUUCUGUUAUAAUUUAAGAGAGCAGUUUUGUUUGUGAUUACUGGUGUAUUUGCAUUGUGAUAUAAGCUGGUGAUAUUUUGGUUAUAUUUCCCUGAUUACAGGGUGGUGCCCCAAACGAGAUUAAACAUAGUUUAAUGAUAUUGUUAUUUAUAUUAUUAAUAAUUAAAUAUAAUUAUUAAAGAAUAUAACCAAAGUUGACUUGAUACAACCCC